AAAAGAUGAAGAGGGCACGAACGGUUAGCGUUAUCAAAGACGGCUCCAAGAGCGCUGGAAUGAAGAGAGGGAGAAAAAAAACGCAACAUGAAAGGAAGACGCGCCACCGUUUUCACUCCUUUUCUCACAUAGAUUGAGG
rnacentral:ribozyme from 1 species